rnacentral:tRNA from 1 species
CAAGUUACCUUAUAAGAUAAGAAUUUUAUUUACACUAAAAUUUAUGUCGUGCAAUUCGAUAUAACUUGA